UUCUGAAAUUCGCGUCGCAUAAAAUUAUAUCGAGAAGUUUUUGUUUGUAAGAAAAUUGUAGCAUUCUCUAGAAUGAUAGUUCCAAUUGUUUGUUGUUGAAUGUGGAAUAGUAUUUUGUGUGUAUGUGGACGAUUAUAUAGAAGCAAAGAUACAUUUUGUAUACAUGUAAAAUUUUUAAAGAAGGGGAAAGAUUGUUUGUAAUUUAUUUAUUUGUGUGAAUGUGAACAUCUAUGAAAUGCAGCAUAUUACUAAUCCUUGGCAAAACAGUAUUCCGGCUGGUGUGUCUCCUUCAUCAGUUGCCCUAAAUAAUUUCAAUCCAGAUGCAAUGAAUUACGGAGGUCUGCCACCAGAAGUGGCUCCUACAUCUACAGCUGUGUAUGCAAAUACAUCAACAUUUUCAUGGGCACACACUGUUCCAAGUUUUAUGCCCUGGGUAACAAAAGGUGAUUCAAAUAUGCAAGAACCCAUUGUACACUUUACAGCUCCAUUUCCACCAGAUCCGUGUACCUCACAAACUGCUACUAGCUGGGAACUAUUGAAUAAUUUUGGACCUAAUAAAAGCAAUGUGAAUUCCCAUUUAAAGAGGAAAAGUGAUCUCGAACUUCUUGAUGUCGGACCUCAAAAGCUGUGUAUUACUGAAGAACGUAUGGCAGCACGCUUUCGUGAGAUGCAUAUCAGUAAUGAAUACACAGUUCCUUCAGAAAAUACUCCAUUUGGACCUUGUGGUCCUCCUGUUGAAUGUGAUUCAAUGAAUAAGACAGUUACAAAUUUAAAUCAGUUAGAUUUUAUAUUAAAAGGCAAUGAGGAUGGUUCCAGUUCAAAAUCAUUAGUUUUAGCUCCUGAACUUAAAAAACUUGUAGAGCCAGAAAAAAUAUUUGCUAGUGCAUUUUUAGAUAAAGUAGAACGACCUUCAUUAGCACUUGUGCCAUGGACACCACCCAAUAACAAUCCACUCCUAAGGCCAAAUGAAAACUCAGAUGACGAUGAAGUAGAAGAAGAACCUGUUCUAUCAAAUGCUAACAGUUCUGGUAUAAGGCAAUCGAAUGAUCUGUCUCUUGCAGCUAUUAUUUAUUACCUCUAUCGGUUCUAUUUAUAUUUGGUCGACAAAGAGCACUGAUCCUUUUUUUCGAAAUUUCGCAUGUUGCUUAUCCCACUAUAACAUCAACCAUUUCUAUCUUUCGUGUUUUUUAUCCUACUUUUCCAAAAUUUUGAUGAUAAUCACUAAGUCCUUUUAGUGCCUUGUACAAAUCAGUGGCGAAUCUAAUAAAAGUUAAUUAACUAAAUUUAGAAAUUUUACCUGGCAAUAUAAAUACCUAUAAAAUACAGACUUCUCUGUUACUCAGCAAUGAAAACGAGGUGCGUAGUCUCAUUAAAUGUCCUUAAACUGCUUAUUUUUAAUGCUUAUAUAAGGAUCUUAAAAUUUUUUGUACAAGUAUUUAUUUUUCUUUCUCAGGGAAAAAAAUCACAUUAGGGAAACAAAAUAAAAAUAAAUAAAAUUCAACAGCAUUACAGAACUAUGCCAGAUCUGCCUGAUUAUAGGAUUGCACUUUCUUUGCGAUAUCCUAUUUUUGACAGGAUCUAAGACUCUAUAAGAGACUUUUGGAUUCAUUAUCACAGUUUACGAAAAUAAGUUAAUGAAAAUAAAAUUCCUUUUUCAUUUCCUCGUAUACGAAAUAUUCAGAGAGAGAAUUGCAACCAUUAAAAAUUCAAGAUCAAAAUUUUGCCUAUCACGAUAAUUUAGACCUUCAAAAAAUAAAAUUUAGGAAUCUAUAUAUAUCUUUAAAAUGUUAACUCAAAAAUAGUAUGAAUAGGCAGAUGAAAUUUGGUUAUUGUAACUCUAAAUUUACAAAUUUUUAUAAAAUUUGAAUUCACAUUCAUUUCUAGGACAGUUCCUCCCCUUCACUGUCUGCACAAAUGCUAGUAAACACAAUAAUUUCAAAAUGAUCUGUAAAAUUUACCACAUAUUUUAGCAUUUAAAGUGUAGAUCAAUAUUAACUUUUAAACCAAAUCUGUACAUGAAUUUACCAUCUAUCGGUCUGCACAUUUGUGCGAACAUAAACUCGCUAAUUCAAAAUCCAACUAAUUAAAUAAACAAAAUUUAAUAAAAUAAUCUUAAUAAUAAUGCAGUAGCUCUGUGUCAUUUGACCAAUAUAAGGCACCUUUGUGAUUUGGUCAGCCUUCUGAGAGCCUGGCAAAGAAAAUAGUCACCAAGGAAGGAAAAAAUUUGCAAAAAAUCCUGAAAUGUUUGCAAACAAAAAUGGAAUUAACUCAAAUCCAACAUCCACAUUUGAAGAUACCAUGGAUACAUAACAUAGGAACAGCUGAAUUUGUCUCUGACAACAAAUGAUAAACUGUAUUUUUCAUUGUAUUUUACUUCUUACACUUGUUCAUUUUUUUCCUAUUUAAAUGAAAAUAAAAAUACUUUAUUUGUA